rnacentral:lncRNA from 1 species
AGCGCUCGCCGAAGGGUGCCAGGCUGUGGGUCGGAACUGCGCUCAGCGAGCAGCUGGGCGCUGGAGAAAGGAUUUCUUCCGACAGACGUGACCCCAGAAGGCUGCCGAGGGAGACUUUAGGACAAGAGGCGUUGUUUUUUUAGGGAAGGAAGAGGAGCCUGUGCAGAGUUGAACUGGGGUGGAGAGGUGCCUUGUAAAGUAUGGUUUCCAGAGAUGGUGAGACCUCGUAGCUAAGCGUUGUUUCCUCUGCACGUAACUGUGAGUUGUGAACUUGUGGCUCCUGGGGGAGCGGGACAGGGCCUGGCAGUGCGGGGGAGGGGGCAAGGAAUUCAGGAAGUUGGCGAGAAUUCUUCGUUUUUCAUUCUUCGUUGUAAAUUGCUUCUAAACACUUCUGAAUUUUAAAUUGCUACCGAGAAGGUCCAGAAACCGUUCUCAUCCAAUUUAGUCACUUUUAUUACGUUCCACUUUGCCUCCCCCAAUCACUGCGGCGGCUCCCAGUUUCAGCGUGGCCGCAUUUGGAAAAGGCUGAAGGUAGAAAACUCUGGAAUGGAGAGGCUGGCGACUGGAGCAGGAUCCAGGGGCUUUAAAUUUUAACCUGAAUGCGAUCGAAUGCGCGACUCCCAGAAGAGAUAGCCAGGCGUCCGCCCGGCCGCUCAACCCCCGCCAGGACUCGGAAUGCCUUGCUUUUGGUUCUUUUCUACAAGGAUGUCUGCGUGGAUAUCCCUGGACACUCGAUACCCCCCGGGGACCUGCUUUUCCCGCAGCUCCGCAGACGCGGCGGGAGGGCGCGCUGGCCCCGGCGCUGCUGGGACAGAGGUGAGCAGCGGGGUGGACAUUGACCGAUUCGACAACGUUCGGGCUCUAAGGGCUCGGGAAGGGACCCGGCAUUUUACCCUCCAGAUUCCCAAUCUAUUUUUAAAAAUAAUGUUCAAAACAUAUGGGAAAAAUAAGUGAUUGCUCCUUUUCAUGGUCACAGAUUGUAUUUAUUUUUUCAGACUGGUUUUCCAACCUAACGAGGGAAUGGGUAGUGAAUGUUGUUGUUGUUGUUGUUGUUUAUGUUGGUUAAUUUCGAAAUAAAACUGUUUAACUCGUACAGUUGAUUCAGACAGAAAACCAGGCUGCCUGACGUCUCCAAUGUGCCUUUUCCCCAAUGCAUCUUUGGCGCUAGGGACCGCUCUGGGGAAGACAAGCAUGUUUUCAAAGCCACUCCCAUGAGCCCCAGACCCGCGCGUGGAGCUUCCUGGGCGCGCCCCAGCUGGUCUGGAAGGCCGGCAAAUUAGGAAGUUUGGAGGGAAGAGGUGCACCCCAAACUAGGGAGAAACCCAAGAGCUGGGGAGAAGGCCCCCACUAGUGUCCAAAGUACGCGGACAGCUCUUAAAAGUUAUUGUUUUCUUCGUGGGGAUAUAUAUUUUUUCUUUUCCUUCCUUUCCUUUUUUUUUUUCUUUCACCCUCGCAUGUCUCCUCUUUCGGGAUUUGCUAAUCUUGAACGAAACUGUUCUCUCCGGACUGUUUCGACCCAAUGAGCGGCCCCUCCUGGGCAAGUCGUCCCCCUUACCCUCACAGAGGGCUGGCUCCCGGGCGCGGCCUGUCCCCAGGGUUGAUUUAUUUCGGCCGCGCCACACCACUAUUCGCGAUUCGAAUCCACCCAGAACACUGCAGCCAAUUGGGCAGGGGGCGGGGGCUUGGCUGCCAAACGGGAAGGGUGUUUGGGGACCCAGUCUUGCGCCGCUUCCGGAGGAGCGGCGAGACCCAGCAAGGACCCGCGUCCCCGUGCACCUCCACCCCCGCAAACUCACGCUCAUUUUACGAUCCUGUCACAAAACUGGCUGCUUCGGCGAUGUUUCAUAAGGAAAAAGAAUGCAUUUCUGACUUAAAACAUAUUUUUAACUUAGAUUUUUAACAGCCCAGAUUUAUGAGGCCUUCUCGCUUAUACCAUAUUUCUUCCCGUCUCUGGGACGCUUUUACCCAAGGACCCGGGGUCACCUCAGAGCCCCCCACCCCUGCCAGCGUCUGGGGCCAGUGGUGGGUUCCGGGCGGCGUGUCCCCCACUCAGCGGCCGCACUGCACGGUAGGCCGUCGACCAGAGUCCUGGCGGUGAUUUUCUUUAAGUUUAAAUCUCGGGAAACCAAAAACACUCUUUAGAAACGUCAGGUGGUGGCGGCGGAAACUUGCAGGUCGCCCCCACCCCCAGCGCCGGCUCCCGCCGGCGGCCACUUCGGGGAAGGACCGCGCGGAGCCAGCGCCGGGGUCCCCGGGCGGUCGGAAUCGAGGCCCGGCGCGUUGCGCAGGCCAGGCCCGGCCCGGAGGCCCCUUGCCCGGCGCAGCCCCCGGCCGACCCCCGUGCGCCGCCGGCGGCCGCCAGCACGGCGCGGAGGUGGGCUAGCGGCGGCGGCGCACGAAAGGUCACCGCGGUGGCAUUCCUCUCCGCGCUGUUUACGUGACUUAAUGUACUCGCUGCGCCGCGGCACCCUAUCUUCUAAAAGAAGAUCUAAACCUUCAUAAUGAAAACUUUAAAAAGGAAUUUAUGGGAUGUAACAAAGAAUACUCUUCUCUAGAUAAAAUGACAGGGAAAUAGAUUUGUCUUUCAGAAGGCAAAGUCUGGAGGGAACAUAAAAGUCUUCCCGUCCCUGCAGUUUUUCUGCCCGAUUUGUGCCCAGAGCCUGUUUUUCUCUUGUCUUUGACAGUUCUGAUCUUCUCUACGUUUGAUUUACUGAGUGCUGUCAUUUCUCUGCUCUUUACUUUCACAAUCACACAUUCAAACCUGAUAAAGUUCAAGACCCUGAAUACUUGCAGCUCUCCCAGAUUUACAGCCCUCCUGCCCCCCAGCCCAGCCAGCCGUCCCGAGGCUGAUUGAAUCCUCAUGGACAGAAGCCUUUGGGGGUCAGUGGAGAGCCAGAGGGUCCAAGAGGGCCAGGCCCAGGGGGAACAUCAGCCCCUGUGUCAACUCUGUUAUCCAUAGCAAGCCUGGGUAGGUCCCUUCCCCUUGAAAGCGAUUGUCAACAUCCUCUUGUUUCAGUUCUCACUUCUAGCCUGUAACCUGCCUGUGGGCAAGUACAGGAACUGUAACUCACAAAAUAGAAUUGGUGAGGAUUCAAGAGGCUGAGAUGGAAGUAUCGCUUGAGCCCAGGAGUUCGGGGCAGCAGUGAGCUAUGAUUACACCACUGCACCACUGCACUCCAGCCUGGGCAACAGAGCAAAGCCCACAGUCAAAAAAAAAAAAAAAAAAAAGGCCAGGUGCAGUGGCUCAUGCCUAUAAUCCCAACACUUUGGUAGGCUGAGGCAGGAAGAUCACCUGAGGUCAGGAGUUCGAGUUCGAGACCAGCCUGGCCAACAUGGUGAAACCCUGUCUCUAUAAAAACAGCAAAAAUUAGCCAGGCAUGGUGGCGUGUGCCUUUAGUCCCAGCUAUUCGGGAGGCUGAGGUGGAAGAAUCACUUGAACCCAGGAGGUGGAGGUUGCAGUGAGCCGAGAUCACUGCACUCCAGCCUGGGUGACAGAGUGAGACCUUGUCUCAAUUAAAAAAACAAAACAAAACAAAAAAAAAAACAGAGAGAGAGAAUUGGAUGCAAAAUUGUGGUCAAUGUGCAUGCAUAAGUGCUAGAUUUUCCUGGACUACUAAACAGCCUUGUAAUCAAGGGCAAGACACUUAACCUCUUCGUGUCUCAGUUGCUCCAUACAUAAAAUGGUAAAAAUAUUACUUUCUACAAACAUUAAUCACGAACUAAUGACUUGGGUCCCCUUUCCUGCAUGUACGUCCAUCAGGGCCCCAGAAAGACCACUAGCAUGUGGCUGAUCUGGCUCUUUGGUUUCUGUCAGGUUAAAUACAAACUUACACAUUAAUCUAAAUACUACACCAGUGGGCUAAACAAAAGGGAUGAUCCAUUUCCAAAGGCUGAACAGUUAACUUAGAGUCAAAUUUUCAAACCACUGAAAUGUCUUCUGAUAGAAGAUGCUAUCUAAAUUGUUUAUUCUUUGCCUGCGAAUAUAAGCCCACUCAACCAUAGAACGCUGACCAAAAGCAAUCACUGAGGAUGGACGCCCUUAUUCUCAAUGAUUACUCUAAAGGGACUUCAUACUUACCAAAUAAGCAAUUCUUUUGCAUGAGCUAAUGUUUUCAUUUAUCUUGAACUAUCAGAGUUUUCUGACUAAGGUACACAUUUUAGGUGGCAGCAGUUUAAGUAGGUAUUUUUUUUUAAUCACUAUUCUAAGUCUAUGGACUAAGAAAGGUAUGAUUCCCCUCCCCCCCCUUUAAUGUUCAUGUCCUACAGAGAGCCAAAUUGUCAUAAUACCUAAGGGGAAAAUUGUAUUAACCUAUUAGGGAAGGAAGCAGAGUAGUUGCCUACCUUCUUCAGAAGGGAUUUUUAUUUUUAAUCUAUCCACUCAAGAGACACCCUUUAGAGUAUAUUACAAUGUUGCUUUUUCCUGGCCAUAAUAAUAUUCACCCCUACAGAGGUGGAUAAAGAUAGAAACCUGACUUAAUGGAUAUCAAAUAACUUUUUCUGGCUACUCUUAAGCUAGAUUACUGCUGUUUAUAAUACCACAAAUUAAAGAUAUGCAAUUAUCCAACAAAAAAAGUGUGACUAUUAUACCAUUUUUAAAGAUUGACUACCAGUGCCCAGCAAACUCUAGCCAAAAACCACAGUGUGGAUCCACAAAGCUGUCAACCUUUACAUUUCAGUCAUCUUUCUGUCCAGAGCUCAGCAUGCUUUGGGCAGAAGUGCAAAAGGCUAGGUGCAUGGGGAAAAGUCUAUCCAGUGUAACUGCUGCAGCAGCUGGCUGCACCUCUGCACCUGGAGCUAGAUUAAGCACCAGUUAUGGAGGCAUGGGUUCAAAUCCCAGAUAUGCAUCUUGCUGUUUCUCUUUAGUUGUGUGAUCUUGGGCAUGUUCCUUAAUAUCUCUACUCCUGGUCAGGCACGGUGGCUCACGCCUGUAAUGCCAGCACUUUCGGAGGCCAAGGCAGGUGGAUCACCUGAGGUCAGGAGUUCGAGACCUCUGUGGCCAACAUGGUGAAACCCCGUCUGUACUAAAAAUUCAAAAAUUAGCCGGAGGAGGCUAAUUCUUAUCUCUCAGGAGGCUGAGACAUAAGAAUCACUUGAACCCGGGAGGUGGAGGUUGCAGUGAGCUGAGAUUGCGCCACUGCACUCCAGCCUGGGCAACAGAGCAAGACCCUUCUCAAAAAAAAUAUAUAUAUAUGAUUUUCAUGAAGAUUAAAUGAAUUAAUAUUUAUAAAAUGCUUAGAAGAGUGUUUGGCUCACCAUACAGGGUUUUUGAGAUGUUUGAUAAAUAAGCAAAAACACAAACUUCUAUUUCAGGCCACUUUUUAAGGGGAAGAGAGGAGGUACCAAGGCCUCAAAGAAGUGAGGUAGGAGGGUGAUCAAAACUAAAAAGAAAAGACGAGAAAAAGCUUUCAAGAAUAUCAGACAUUUCCUAUAGGGAAUUAUUUGCAAUCAUCAACUCACCCUGUCUGUCCCUAGGUGAUAGUGCAAGUAAGUUUGUGUUUGUUUUAUUUGGUCAAACUCCUUGAUCCUGCUGAGACAAACACUAUGGUGGGUACUAGGGAAGCAAAGAUGCUUGACAAUGCCCUGCCCUCAAGCUGCUCCCAGAUAAGCAGGAGAGACAGACAAGAUUACAGAAAAUCGUCACACCAGGUGGCAAGUGCCACUGUAGAGAGAAAUCAGGGGACUGUUGGAGUGCAACCAGAGAAGGCUUCCUGGAGCAGUCGUAAAACUCACCUGACUGAGUUUUGAGAAAUGACUUAAUCAGACAAGGUUUAGGAAGUGAGAAGCAGCAAAGAUAAUUAACUGGAGCCUUAGUGUGAAGUGCCAGCAAGAAAGCAGAGAGGUUGGCAGGAUUCUAAUGCAGCCAAAGAUCUUUUAACUAUAAAAUUAUACUAAAAAUGUAGAUGCAAAAAUAUGCCUUUUAGAACAAAAGAUAAGGAGUGUCAAUGAGAAAGAAAUGAUCAAACCUCCAAGUGUAUUCACUGGAAAAUUGACCUCAAGGAUGAAAACCUCUUCAGACAGAGAGAUCACUGUUGCAUGCUAUGAGGGCCAAGUCAUGACUGAAUCUGCUAAAGUAAAUUGUAAUUAGAUUUGGGGCAUUAAAGUGGAACCCAAAAUAAUAAAAUUAGGCUGGAACACUAGAAUGUCAGCUCAAAACGGCCGGGCACGGUGGCUCACGCCUGUAAUCCCAGCACUCUGGGAGGCCGAGGCAGGCUGAUCAUGAGGUCAGGAGAUCGAGACCAUCCUGGCUAGCAUGGUGAAACCCCAUCUCUACUAAAAAUACAAAAAAUUAGUCAGGCGUGGUGACAGGCACCUGUGGUCCCAGCUGCUCGGGAGGCUGAGGCAGGAGAAUGGCGUGAACCCGGGAGGCGGAGGUUGCAGUGAGCCGAGAUCGUGCCACUGCACUCCAGCCUGGGCGACAGAGCGAGACUCCGUCUCUAAAAAAAAUAAAAAUAAAAAAGAAUGUAAGCUCAAGAAAACUGGAAUUUUUGUCUGUUCUGUUCAUCACAGUUUCCCCAGAGCCCAGAACAGAGCCUGGCCCAUAGCAGGCAUGUCAUACGUAUUUGUUGAAUGAAUGGUACAUGAAAAUAUAUAGCACACUCCCCAUAACCUUGCCACUCACUUCUCUGAUGUUGAGACAUGAUAUCACCAGCCUCGUUGAUAUGCCAUCAAAUAGUAAUUCCCACUCACCAGCAUCACAACCUAUUGCCACAUCCCAGGGCAUUGUUGAUUGCUUUCACUUACAAUAAUACCCUCACUGUCUUUGGGCCUGUGGCACACUCUCCCCAGGCCCUGGCAACCUUUUACUUAGACUGCUGUAGGUCUCUUGGGAAGCAGGUGCUUGAGGGCUGUCCCCUCACAUUGGAACUGUAAAUGAAUUCUCUAACUGGCAUCAGACUUUCUACUCACUAUUUAAUAGUCUUCAUUCUCUACUUUCAAAAUCCUGGCACCUGCACCUCACUUGACCCUCCUUCCUGUCCCACCUAUGGCUUCUCUUCUCCCUCAAGCCUUCUCUCACGCACUGCUCUAGGGCUGAAUAGAAAUUCAAGCUCCCAGCUGGGCACAAUGGCUCACGCCUGUAAUCCCAGCACUUUGGGAGGCCGAGGCAGGUGGAUCCCCUGAGGUCAGGAGUUCAAGACCAGCCUGGCAAACAUGGCGAAACCCUCUCUUUCUAAAAAUGUAAAAAUUAGCAGGGCGUGGUGGCACACGCCUGUAAUCCCAGCUACUCAGGAGGCUGAGGCAGGAGAAUCGCUUGAACCCAGGGGUGGAGGUUGCAGUGAGCCGAGAUCGCACCACUUCACUCCAGCCUGGGUGAAAGAGCAAAACUCCAUCUCAAAAAAAAAAAAAAAGAAAAAGAAAGAAAUUCAGCCUUCCUCCUUUCCUAUUCCACCAGUCCCUGAGAUUCUACCUCCUCCACGAGAUCUCGCCUGACAAUUUAGAAGAGGAACAGUGGGUUUUGUUCGUACAUAAUCACCUCAUGUCCCUGGCACCAAUACUCAUGAAUAGUCCAGAACCAAUUUAACUUCGACAUACAAGAGGUCUCCCAGCUUUAAGUGCUAGUUAUGUUUCUGAAGAGUUGUGGGCAUGUAGCAUUUUUGAAAUCCAAAUUAUUCAAGGCCACCCU